AAAACAUGUCUUUUUGUUUAUUUAUUUAAAGUUUGCCCUGCCCAAUGAUUUAAUUUAAUGGCCGCAGUAUAUUAACUGUGCUAAGGUAGCAUAAUCAAUUGUCUUUUAAUUGGAGGCUGGUAUGAAAGGGUGAAUGAGGCAUUAUCUUUUUUUUUAUUAAAAUUUAAAUUUAAUUUUUUAGUUAAAAGGCUAAAAUUUUAUUAUGGGACGAGAAGACCCUAUAGAUCUUUAUAUUUAAUUACUUAAUUGUAUUUUAGCUUAUUGUUUAUAAUAAUUUAAUUAUGUAUUUAAUUGGGGUGAUUUUAGAAUUUAACUAACUACUAUUUAAUUAAUCAUUUGUUAAUGUUUAUUUGAUCUUGUAUUACUGAUUUUAAGAUUAAGUUACCUUAGGGAUAACAGCGUAAUUUUUCCGGAGAGUUCAUAUUGAUGGGAAGGUUUGCGACCUCGAUGUUGGAUUAAAAUAAGUUUUAGGCGCAGUUGCUUAAUGACUAGGUCUGUUCGACCUUUAAAAUUUUACAUGAUCU
rnacentral:rRNA from 1 species